rnacentral:lncRNA from 1 species
ACAAAGCCUGUCCAGAUUGCAUAUUUGAAGUCUGUUUUGAAGGUUUUCACACUUGGUGAAACUCUUCACAUAAAGCCCAAUUCUAGCUUUGCAGGUUUGCAUUUCCUUUUUUUUUUUUUUUUUUUUAAAAAAAGAAUUUUUCUGCGAAAAUCCUUUAAAAAGAAAAAAAAGCUUUAUACAGCUGGGCACAGUGACUCACGCCUGUAAUCCCACCACUUUGGGAGGCUGAGGAGGGUGGAUCACUUCAAGUCAGAAGUUCAAGACCAGCCUGGCCAACAUAAUGAAACUCCGUCUCUACUGAAAAUACAAAAAUUAGCCGGCCAUGGUGGCGUGCACCUACAAUCCCGGCUACUCAGGAGGCUGAGGCACGAGAAUCACUUGAAGCUAGGAGGCAGAGGUUACGGUGAGCCGAGAUCAUGCCACUGCACUCCAGCCUGGGUGACAGAGUGAGACUAUGUCUCAAAAAAAUAAAAAGGCUUUCUAACUUGCUAC